UACGGGGGGGGCAAGCGUUGUUCGGAAUUACUGGGCGUAAAGGGCUCGUAGGCGGCCAUCUAAGUCGGACGUGAAAUCCCUCGGCUUAACCUGGGAACUGCAUCCGAUACUGGAUGGCUUGAAUCCGGGAGAGGGAUGCAGAAUUCCAGGUGUAGCGGUGAAAUGCGUAGAUAUCUGGAGGAACACCGGUGGCGAAGGCGGCAUCCUGGACCGGCAUUGACGCUGAGGAGCGAAAGCCAGGGGAGCAAACGGG
rnacentral:rRNA from 1 species